UACGGAGGGUGCAAGCGUUGUUCGGAAUCAUUGGGCGUAAAGGGCGCGUAGGCGGGUCGUUAAGUCCGAUGUGAAAUCCCUCGGCUCAACCGAGGAAGUGCAUCGGAUACUGGCGGUCUUGAGUCCUGGAGAGGGUAGCGGAAUUCCCAGUGUAGAGGUGAAAUUCGUAGAUAUUGGGAGGAACACCGGUGGCGAAGGCGGCUACCUGGACAGUGACUGACGCUGAGGCGCGAAAGCAUGGGUAGCAAACAGG
rnacentral:misc_RNA from 1 species